rnacentral:rRNA from 1 species
UACGUAGGGUGCGAGCGUUGUCCGGAAUUAUUGGGCGUAAAGGGCUCGUAGGCGGUUUGUCGCGUCGGGAGUGAAAACCAGGUGCUUAACACCUGGCUUGCUUUCGAUACGGGCAGACUAGAGGUAUUCAGGGGAGAACGGAAUUCCUGGUGUAGCGGUGAAAUGCGCAGAUAUCAGGAGGAACACCGAUGGCGAAGGCGGGUCUCUGGGCCGAUACUGACGCUGAGGAGCGAAAGCGUGGGGAGCGAACAGG